AUAGUAUUUAGUCUAUUUACAUGGUGAAAGAAGUGAAUCAUUUGAACAAUUCUGUUUCAUAUCAUAUUCCAUAGUUUUUUGGUUUUUUUUUUUUGGAUUUUUUUGUUGUUGUAUUAAAACGACCGAGUAUCGAUAUCAAUGGUAACGAAAUAAGUUGACACCGCGUCUCGUGUUCAAUUCGAAUUUACUCGGAAUUACACGUUCAACGAGCAUUUGCUGUGAAACCUGAUUAAAGGAAAAAUACUGUAGACACCUAAUAGUGAUUUGUACAGAAGCGAGCCCCGGCAGGAAUGAUGGCCUCUUUUGAAAUGAAGAUUUCAUGCCUUACUCCUACUGGGACUACAACUAACUUUGGACCUGGUCACUCACAGAUACAGCAUGAAGUGUGCCCUCUUGAUGUACAUGGGAAUGAGAGUGAUACAGAAGGGGGACUAAUUGGAAGAACUGCUGGGGGUGGUGGUGGUGCUGGACUGUCUUGAAUCUGUGGCCUAACCGACUUGAUAUUCUUCUAUUUAAUAUGGGAGCAACACACACACUCUGGCAUCUAUUGCACAGAAAAUCAUGAUCAGAUGGUGCCCUCCCUAUCAGAGUGGUGAUCACUGUCCUAUAUUUCUUUGAAAUCCUGGAUCUGUGUUUUGGUUUUACUCUCCAUGGACAGUUGAAACAGAGAAAGAAUUUGGGACCACUCCUUGGCAUAUCUGAAAUAUUUAUGUCAUAUACAUGUGAUUGAAAUUAUACAAUUUGGGUUGGAUGAAAAUCUUAUCUUCAUGUUAAAACCCAUUAGCCUAGGUUAUUUUUCCUAAAAUCUAAUUAUAAAUCAAUUAACUUGUUAAUUAAUGCUUGGUGAAUCAAUUAAUAAAUUGUAUUAAAAAACUUGGAAUUAUUUUUUUUCCACUAAUAAACUGAAAAUGUGUAUCUUCAAA